AGCGAACGCUGGCGGUAGGCCUAACACAUGCAAGUCGAACGGCAGCACAGUAAGAGCUUGCUCUUACGGGUGGCGAGUGGCGGACGGGUGAGGAAUACAUCGGAAUCUACUUUUUCGUGGGGGAUAACGUAGGGAAACUUACGCUAAUACCGCAUACGACCUACGGGUGAAAGCAGGGGAUCUUCGGACCUUGCGCGAUUGAAUGAGCCGAUGUCGGAUUAGCUAGUUGGCGGGGUAAAGGCCCACCAAGGCGACGAUCCGUAGCUGGUCUGAGAGGAUGAUCAGCCACACUGGAACUGAGACACGGUCCAGACUCCUACGGGAGGCAGCAGUGGGGAAUAUUGGACAAUGGGCGCAAGCCUGAUCCAGCUAUACCGCGUGGGUGAAGAAGGCCUUCGGGUUGUAAAGCCCUUUUGUUGGGAAAGAAAAGCAGCAGGUUAAUACCCCGCUGUUCUGACGGUACCCAAAGAAUAAGCACCGGCUAACUUCGUG
rnacentral:rRNA from 1 species